CAGCCGCCGCGGUAAUACGUAGGGUGCGAGCGUUAAUCGGAAUUACUGGGCGUAAAGCGUGCGCAGGCGGUUUGUUAAGACAGAUGUGAAAUCCCCGGGCUUAACCUGGGAACUGCAUUUGUGACUGGCCGGCUAGAGUAUGGCAGAGGGAGGUGGAAUUCCACGUGUAGCAGUGAAAUGCGUAGAUAUGUGGAGGAACACCGAUGGCGAAGGCAGCCUCCUGGGCCAAUACUGACGCUCAUGCACGAAAGCGUGGGGAGCAAACAGGAUUAGAUACCCCCGUAGUCCCUGUCUCUUAUAA
rnacentral:rRNA from 1 species